rnacentral:rRNA from 1 species
UACGGAGGGUGCAAGCGUUAUCCGGAUUCACUGGGUUUAAAGGGUGCGUAGGCGGACAGGUAAGUCAGUGGUGAAAUCUCUGGGCUUAACCCAGAAACUGCCGUUGAUACUAUUUGUCUUGAAUAUCCUGGAGGUAGGCGGAAUAUGUCAUGUAGCGGUGAAAUGCUUAGAUAUGACAUAGAACACCAAUUGCGAAGGCAGCUCGCUACACGAAUAUUGACUCUGAGGCACGAAAAGCGUGGGGGAUCAAACAGG